rnacentral:rRNA from 1 species
AUUGAACGCUGGCGGCAUGCCUAACACAUGCAAGUCGAACGGCAGCACGGUUAAGUACUUGUACUUAAUGGGUGGCGAGUGGCGAACGGGUGAGUAAUGCGCAGGAAUAUGCCUUAAAGAGGGGGAUAACUUGGGGAACUCAAGCUAAUACCGCAUAAGCUCUGAGGAGUAAAGCUGGGGACCUUCGGGCCUGGCGCUUUAAGAAUAGCCUGCGUCCGAUUAGCUAGUUGGUAGGGUAAAGGCCUACCAAGGCGACGAUCGGUAGCUGGUCUGAGAGGAUGAACAGCCACACUGGGACUGAGACACGGCCCAGACUCCUACGGGAGGCAGCAGUGGGGAAUAUUGGACAAUGGGGGCAACCCUGAUCCAGCAAUGCCGCGUGUGUGAAGAAGGCCUGAGGGUUGUAAAGCACUUUCAGUGGGGAGGAGGAUUGAUUGGUUAAGAGCUGAUUAAUUGGACGUUACCUACAGAAGAAGCACCGGCUAACUCCGUGCCAGCAGCCGCCGCAG